rnacentral:rRNA from 1 species
UGGGGAAUAUUGGACAAUGGGCGAAAGCCUGAUCCAGCCAUGCCGCGUGAACGAUGAAGGCCUUAGGGUUGUAAAGUUCUUUUGUCAGGGAAGAUAAUGACGGUACCUGAAGAAUAAGCACCGGCUAACUUCGUGCCAGCAGCCGCGGUAAUACGAAGGGUGCUAGCGUUGUUCGGAAUCACUGGGCGUAAAGGGCGCGUAGGCGGCCCUGUAAGCCAAAGGUGAAAUCCCUCGGCUCAACUUAGGAACUGCCUUUGGAACUGCAUGGCUUGAGGCCGGGAGGGGGUAGCGGAAUUCCCAGUGUAGCGGUGAAAUGCGUAGAUACUGGGAGGAACACCGGUGGCGAAGGCGGCUACCUGGACCGGCUCUGACGCUGAUGCGCGAAAGCGUGGGGAGCAAACAGGAUUAGAUACCCGUAGUCCCUGAGCGGGCUGGCAAGGCGCAU